GCGGCAAUAGCGCGGUGGUCCCACCUGACCCCAUGCCGAACUCAGUAGUGAAACGCCGUAGCGCCGAUGGUAGUGUGGGGUCUCCCCAUGUGAGAGUAGGGAACUGCCAGAC
rnacentral:rRNA from 3 species